ACAAGGUAACCGUAGGGGAACCUGCGGUUGGAUCACCUCCUUACCAAGAAGAUGUGUGUUAAGUGAAGUGCUCACACAGAUUGUCUGAUGAA
rnacentral:rRNA from 1 species